rnacentral:lncRNA from 15 species
CCCUACUCUGCCCGCCAUCUCAACGAUGACAAAUGUGCCACCCGCAGUGGAAAUAUUGAGAGUUACCGGGACAUUUAUCAGGUUUUCCACUUAUAGCAACUAACCUUUUUAUAACAAUAGGGGAAAGAUCAUGAUCCAACACUUCUUUUUAGAAAAAGGCUUUCUGAAGAGAUACCUGUAGCUGUACACCGGAGUGUUGUUUGUGUCAGAGGGCAGCGCCUCGCCGUCACAAAGAGGCCACGUCGGUUUCAGCUGACUGCAGCUGUGGCACUCGCCAUGUGUGGCUGGGAGACUGGAUACCUGCUACACAGCAUCCCGCUUACUGAAUCCAUCUCUCCCUCUCCCUAAACCCUGUAAGGGGACAGUCUCCCAAGUUCCACAGGAUCCCUGCGGUUGAAGACCACUUCUACUCCUUAUAGCGUGUUUCCACUUGUCCCUAAUCUACCUGUGGGACUUUACAGAUUGGAAAUAGAUCACAUGAGGAAAGCUUGGUACCUGCAGUGAUUCUUUCCCGCCCUGGUGGACGAUUAUUGGCAGGUUUUGGGGCCCUGCCACGAAGGGUGAACGAAUGCAUUUCUGCAGAUGACUGUGAGGCAAGGAAAGAUUGAAUUCUCACUCCCCUUCCAUCUGUGUGUGUGGUGGGGGAAACGGGUGAGUCUC